CCUACGGGAGGCAGCAGUCGGGAAUAUUGCCCAAUGGUCGCAAGACUGAGGCAGCAACGCCGCGUGCGCGAUGAAGGCCUUCGGGUCGUAAAGCGCUUUUCGGGUGGAUGAGGAAGGACAGUACACCCGGAAUAAGGAACGGCUGACUACGUGCCAGCAGCCGCGGUAAAACGUAGGUUCCGAGCGUUAUCCGGAUUUACUGGGCGUAAAGCGCGUUCAGGCGGUUUGGCAAGUCGGGCAUGAAAUCUCUCGGCUCAACCGGGAGAGGUUGUCCGAUACUGCUGGACUUGAGGGCAGUAGAGGGUGGUGGAAUUCCGGGUGUAGUGGUGAAAUGCGUAGAUAUCCGGAGGAACACCAGUGGCGAAAGCGGCCACCUGGACUGUACCUGACGCUCAAACGCGAAAGCUAGGGGAGCGAACGGGAUUAGAAACCCCGGUAGUCCUAGCUAUAAACGAUGUUGACUAGGUGUCGACGGGUUAAAAUCCGCCGGUGCCGGAGCAAACGCAUUGAGUCAACCGCCUGGGGACUACGGCCGCAAGGUUAAAACUCAAAGGAAUUGACGG
rnacentral:rRNA from 1 species